rnacentral:rRNA from 1 species
GGACGAACGCUGGCGGCGCGCCUAACACAUAGCAAGUCGAACGGAGAGCGUAGUUUGAAUCUCGGAAGGAAAGAUACGUUCUAGUGGCGGACGGGUGAGUAACACGUGAGCAACCUGCCUUGCAGAGAGGGAUAACGAUUGGAAACGAUCGCUAAUACCACAUAACAUACAGAUAUCGCAUGAUGACUGUAUCAAAGAUUUAUCGCUGCAAGAUGGGCUCGCGUCUGAUUAGAUAGUUGGUGAGGUAAACGGCUCACCCAAGUCGACGAUCAGUAGCCGGACUGAGAGGUUGAACGGCCACAUUGGGACUGAGACACGGCCCAGACUCCUACGGGAGGCAGCAGUGGGGGAUAUUGCACAAUGGGGGAAACCCUGAAUGCAGCGACGCCGCGUGAGGGAAGAAGGUUUUCGGAUUGUAAACCUCUGUCUUUGGGGACGAUAAUGACGGUACCCAAGGAGGAAGCUCCGGCUAACUACGUGCCAGCAGCUGC